ensembl:lncRNA
CAAGAACAUUGCAAAAUACAUGUGAACUCCCUUGGCCUAUUCAGCCUUUCCAGAUGCAUCAUUCUCCUGGGUAGCUAGACAGAUGCAGAGUUAAGUGGGAGUGCAGAUAAGCAUGUUGGAUACCAAUGCUGUACUGAGAUACGUAGGCCUCCAUAUAGUAAGAAUCAUAGAAUGUCCUGGGUUGAAAAGGACGACAAUGAUCAUCGAGUUUCAGCCUCCCUGCUAUGUGCAGCGUCGCCAACCUCCAACCUCCAGACCAGGCUGCCCAGAGCCACAUCCAGCCUGGCCUUCAAUGCCUCCAGGGAUGGGGCAUCCACAACCUCCUUGGGCAACCUGUUCCGGAGUUCAAAUACACAAUAACGUUGGCUUGAAGAUCAUCCAAACUCUGAAGAAAAGCUGGUGUUUGAACAUGGUUUCUCUAUAGUGCUUUCCCUGUGCAGCUAAGACCUUUCAAAGAUGGGACUACCAAAAUAAGGCUGUAAUCUUUUCAUGUUAAGCCUCACAAAACACUUCCGCUUUGAUAACUCAGUCAAAUUCAUCAGGUAACAAGGGGCUUGAUUUACUUAUCUCAACUCGUAUGUAGUCCUGUGGUGCCUUGUAAUAAUUAAUGACUCUCUUCUGCAGAUGUUUCAGAGGCAAAAUGGUGGUGUCCUAUCAUGGCUUGGAUUUUAGUUUUCUCAAAGAGUCUUUCGAAAUAAAAGCUACGUUUUGCAUCAUAGUAUUAUGGUUUUAUGGAAAAAAUGUAAUUUGGCAUUAUCUUUUUGAUUUAUUCCAUACAAGAAAGGAUCUAUUGGAUGUAGUUCAUUUCCUUCAGCUGUAGCUAAACGUGUAUCAUUCAAACAGCAUGAACUGAAACCCAGUCCUAUUAUGUAAUUCAAACCUUUGUUAUUGCAUCAAAUUAUAUUUCCACCUAUCUCAGAUUUAUGGAUGGUUCAUGUUAUCUAAAUAUAUUAUUCCUGUCUUUACUGUAAUUCAAAUCAAU